rnacentral:rRNA from 1 species
UUUUUAUGGAGAGUUUGAUCCUGGCUCAGGAUGAACGCUGGCGGCGUGCCUAAUACAUGCAAGUCGAGCGAACAGACGAGGAGCUUGCUCCUCUGACGUUAGCGGCGGACGGGUGAGUAACACGUGGAUAACCUACCUAUAAGACUGGGAUAACUUCGGGAAACCGGAGCUAAUACCGGAUAAUAUAUUGAACCGCAUGGUUCAAUAGUGAAAGACGGUUUUGCUGUCACUUAUAGAUGGAUCCGCGCCGCAUUAGCUAGUUGGUAAGGUAACGGCUUACCAAGGCAACGAUGCGUAGCCGACCUGAGAGGGUGAUCGGCCACAC